rnacentral:antisense_RNA from 1 species
CAUGGAGGGCCACAUCUGCCAGAGCCUGGAGUCUGCGAAGGCCGGGACCCGGUUCCCCGGCCCGCCGUGGGGAGUGUGCAAACCCGAGAGAACUGGGUUGCAAAUUCGUGAAGAAUCAGCAGCAUGUUUGGCAGCUGAGUAUUGGAGCCAGGAGCCUGCCAUGAGGUUUUGAGAACAGGGUGCUGUUUUAGAGCUGGCAGCAGCAUCUCAGCCCAAGAGAAGCUGAUGCAGCCUCAGUGUUCCUUUGCCUUGGGGGUUUCUGAGUGGUGGGGUUGUAAGGAGAGCCUGCCAGGCAUCCAGAAGGAAACCUCAUCAGGACUCCCUCAGAAAGGCCCUGAAGAAUCCUGUGACCUUCCUCUAAAGUAGGUCAUGAGACCCCCUGAGCUUAAAACGGAGUGAUCGGCUUUGGAGAAGUAAAGAAACAUGACGUGCCUGCCCUGGCGUGGGGCUAAACUUCGUGCCACUCCAUGUGAAACGGGGAGGCAUGACUCCACAGUUUCUGCAACAACAGAGCCGGGGAAAGGAGGACGCAGCAAGCGCUGAAUAUUAACCAGCAAAGGUAGAUGCUUCAAUAUCGAAACCACCAGGACCCGCAUGUGCAAAGCUACUUAAUGAGGGUGUAAUCAAACACAGUCUACCAGAAGGAAAUUAAUUAGAGUCCAGAGGGCAAGCAGGAAGCAGAACCAGGCUGCUCCCCCUCCUGGCUCUAGAAC